rnacentral:rRNA from 1 species
UACGUAGGGUGCGAGCGUUAAUCGGAAUUACUGGGCGUAAAGAGUGCGUAGGCGGUAACUCAAGUCAGAUGUGAAAGCCCCGGGCUUAACCUGGGAUGUGCGUUUGAAACUAAGUUACUAGAGUUUGGUAGAGGGGGGUAGAAUUCCUGGUGUAGCAGUGAAAUGCGUAGAUAUCAGGAGGAAUACCAAUGGCGAAGGCAGCCCCCUGGAUUAAAACUGACGCUGAGGCACGAAAGCAUGGGGAGCAAACAGG